GAUGACGAGGUUAAUAGGUUCGAGGUGGAAGCGUGGUGACACGUGGAGCUGACGAAUACUAAUCGAUCGAAGACUUAAUCAA
rnacentral:rRNA from 1 species